rnacentral:rRNA from 1 species
UAAUACGUAGGGUGCAAGCGUUAAUCGGAAUUACUGGGCGUAAAGCGUGCGCAGGCGGUGAUGUAAGACAGAGGUGAAAUCCCCGGGCUCAACCUGGGAACUGCCUUUGUGACUGCAUCGCUAGAGUACGGUAGAGGGGGGUGGAAUUCCGCGUGUAGCAGUGAAAUGCGUAGAUAUGCGGAGGAACACCGAUGGCGAAGGCAGCCCCCUGGACCUGUACUGACGCUCAUGCACGAAAGCAUGGGGAGCAAACAGG